AGGCCUAACACAUGCAAGUCGAACGGUAGCACAGAGAGCUUGCUCUCGGGUGACGAGUGGCGGACGGGUGAGUAAUGUCUGGGAAACUGCCUGAUGGAGGGGGAUAACUACUGGAAACGGUGGCUAAUACCGCAUAACGUCGCAAGACCAAAGAGGGGAACCUUCGGGCCUCUUGCCAUCAGAUGAGCCCAGAUGGGAUUAGCUUGUUGGUGAGGUAACGGCUCACCAAGGCGACGAUCCCUAGCUGGUCUGAGAGGAUGACCAGCCACACUGGAACUGAGACACGGUCCAGACUCCUACGGGAGGCAGCAGUGGGGAAUAUUGCACAAUGGGCGCAAGCCUGAUGCAGCCAUGCCGCGUGUAUGAAGAAGGCCUUCGGGUUGUAAAGUACUUUCAGCGGGGAGGAAGGUGUUGUGGUUAAUAACCGCAGCAAUUGACGUUACCCGCAGAAGAAGCACCGGCUAACUCCGUGCCAGCAGCCGCGGUAAUACGGAGGGUGCAAGCGUUAAUCGGAAUUACUGGGCGUAAAGCGCACGCAGGCGGUCUGUCAAGUCGGAUGUGAAAUCCCCGGGCUCAACCUGGGAACUGCAUUCGAAACUGGCAGGCUUGAGUCUUGUAGAGGGGGGUAGAAUUCCAGGUGUAGCGGUGAAAUGCGUAGAGAUCUGGAGGAAUACCGGUGGCGAAGGCGGCCCCCUGGACAAAGACUGACGCUCAGGUGCGAAAGCGUGGGGAGCAAACAGGAUUAGAUACCCUGGUAGUCCACGCCGUAAACGAUGUCUACUUGGAGGUUGUGCCCUUGAGGCGUGGCUUCCGGAGCUAACGCGUUAAGUAGACCGCCUGGGGAGUACGGCCGCAAGGUUAAAACUCAAAUGAAUUGACGGGGGCCCGCACAAGCGGUGGAGCAUGUGGUUUAAUUCGAUGCAACGCGAAGAACCUUACCUGGUCUUGACAUCCACAGAACUUUCCAGAGAUGGACUGGUGCCUUCGGGAACUGUGAGACAGGUGCUGCAUGGCUGUCGUCAGGGAAGUUUUCAGAGAUGAGAAUGUGCCUUCGGGAACCGUGAGACAGGUGCUGCAUGGCUGUCGUCAGCUCGUGUUGUGAAAUGUUGGGUUAAGUCCCGCAACGAGCGCAACCCUUAUCCUUUGUUGCCAGCGAUUCGGUCGGGAACUCAAAGGAGACUGCCAGUGAUAAACUGGAGGAAGGUGGGGAUGACGUCAAGUCAUCAUGGCCCUUACGACCAGGGAUACACACGUGCUACAAUGGCGAAAUGGCGCAUACAAAGAGAAGCGACCUCGCGAGAGCAAGCGGACCUCAUAAAGUGCGUCGUAGUCCGGAUUGGAGUCUGCAACUCGACUCCAUGAAGUCGGAAUCGCUAGUAAUCGUGGAUCAGAAUGCCACGGUGAAUACGUUCCCGGGCCUUGUACACACCGCCCGUCACACCAUGGGAGUGGGUUGCAAAAGAAGUAGGUAGCUUAACCUUCGGGAGGGCGCUUACCACUUUGUGAUUCAUGACUGGGGUGAAGUCGUAACAAGGUAACCGUAGGGGAACCUGCGGUUG
rnacentral:rRNA from 1 species